rnacentral:lncRNA from 1 species
ACCUGCAGGGAAAUGCCCACCCCCAGCGCUCUCCCUCACCACUCCGAGACUUGCAGCUUCCCCAGCUCCCCACGUGGCCCAUGCUGGGAGUUUCUGCUCUGCCGGAAAUGGCUGGGCCUUGGAGCUUCCCCCCACCCCCCGGGGCCUCUCUACCUCAGCCCUUCCUCCCCAUUUCCCCAGCCCUGAGCUCAGCGCUGCCCUGCACCUCCUCCCCAGCCUGGAGUCUCGCUGGCUGUGGCAUAUUUGCCUCAAGCCUCCCCAGUUCCCUUCAUCUCCAAGAAUGGAGUUAGAGCCUCACCCUAGUCUGUCCGCUGAGCAGCUCCCGAGAUGCCCACUGUGCCCUAAGGGUGCAGGAGAUGGCAGCAGGGGAUGGGAAGCAG